CUGACACCACUCAAUUGUUUGUCGUAGCUGGCUCAGAUGCAGCCAGGGCGGGAUGUUCAAGACUCAAAGUCCUCCUACAUGAAGGCUAGACAUGUUUCUUUUUGCAAUGGCAUAGCUGCACCAAGUGCCAACAGUGAAAGCACUCGGGGAUGUGUCUGAAUACCUGAAGCUCACCUAAGAUGGCAUGUACCCACCUGGAGCAUCUGCAGCGCUGUGCUACACCGCAGUGGAGCUUGAGCUGUGUUUGCUUCUCUCUUGGACCUGUGGAAGGGCACUAUCCAGCUUCUCUCCCAACUAUACCAACUAGGCCCAGGCACCAAAGGAAGAAGCACCCCGGGGAAUACCCUCCACAGCAGAGUGGCAGACGGUCACAGCCAGGACCGGAGCGGCACGCAGAGAACCGGUACCAGCUUCUCCAGUCCGACUGGUGAACAGAUCAAGAGAUCCACGAUGACCCAGAGGAAGAGGCGACGUGUGCUCGUCAUAGGAGACUCCAUCCUGAGAGGUACGGAAGGACCCAUCUGUCGCCAGGACCCCUCGGCAUGAGAGUGACCGGACGAGGAAGACGGCAGGAGAACUGCAUCCGAGAGACCAACUGGCGGCUUCGGCAGUGGUGUCUCGAGGCAGGCUUCGGUUUCCUGGACCAUGACCCGCACAUCACGACGAGGGACAUGCUCAGCUGGGAUGGGCUUCACCUGUCCCCCAAAGGUAAGCGUGUGUUUUCUACUAGGCUGGCGGAUCUCCUCCGGCGGGCUUUAAACUAGGCUCGUCGGGGGGAGGGGAGUACGAGGGCAGGGGAAGCUGUGGACCACCAAACCAUGUGGCACCCACAAGGACAGCCCAGCCUGAAGAAGGAGAACAUUGGGAACCUGAAAGCCAUGGGGAGGCCAGCACUACAGAACAGGUAAGAAACAAGAAGGUAAGAAACAAUGGGCCCCUUGGGACUCGGAGCGGGGGGGCAGCAAAGGCACCAGUCGCAGGGCUCAAGUGCCUAUAUACUAAUGCUAGGAGCAUGGGGAACAAGCAGGAUGAACUAGCGCUCCUGCUUGCACUAAACACCUAUGACUUAGUGGGGCUAACAGAGACCUGGUGGGAUUCAUCCCAUGACUGGGCGGUACAUGUUGAGGGCUAUAGAUUGUACAGAAAGGACAGGUCGGGGAAGAAAGGGGGGGGGGUUGCACUUUAUGUCAGUGAGCAAUAUACAUCAACCCUCAUCAAGACAGAAUCCGAGGCUGAGGAAGUAGAAGGAUUGUGGGUUAGGCUACAUGGGGGGCAAGGAGAAAGGGAUUUGGUGGUAGGGGUCUGUUACAGACCCCCACACCAAGGGGAAGAAAUAGAUGCGGGGCUCCUGAGGCAACUCUCGGAGACCAUAAAAGCUAAAGAGGCGGUAGUCAUGGGGGACCUAAACUACCCGGACAUCUGCUGGGAGACGCAGACAGCAAGGUCCCAUCGCUCACGCAGGUUUCUAACUUGUGUACAGGACCUCCACCUGACACAGGAGGUGCAUGGUCCCACUAGGGGGAAUGCCAUACUGGAUCUGGUAUUGGCAACGGGAGAUGACAUGAUAGGGGACCUCCAAAUCGGUAGCUAUCUGGGAGACAGUGAUCACCUUAUGAUAGAAUUCAACAUAAGACGGCGAGUGGGUAAGGUAACUAGUAGGGUGAAAGUGCUAGACUUUAGGAAAGCUGAUCUCAAUGCACUCAGGCGAUUAGUCAAGGACGCACUGCAGAGUAGGAGUUUUGAUGGGAUGGGAGCCCAAGAAGGGUGGCUGUGCCUAAAGGAAACGAUCCUUUGGGCACAAAGCAAGACGAUCCCCGAGCGAGGCAAAAGAGGG